GUCAACAAAGAGCAGCAGGUGUGGUAAUGGGGAGCUGUACAGUGCCGCCAGAGCCAACUUGAAGAAGGGGAUCAGAUGUGCCAAGACAGCUUAUAGGAGGCGAAUAGAGGACUGCUUCCAGAGUCAGGACUCUCGGCGGGUGUGGCAGGGUGUUCAGCACAUCACGAACCACUGACCCAGCACCCUGUUGGCAGACUACAGUGAUGCCUCACUGGCAGAGAACCUCAAUAGCUUCUUUGCCCGUUUUGAGGUGCAGCCACCAGAGACAGUCAUCGUCCCCUCACCUGCCCUCAACAGCCACGUCCUCAUGUUGGAGGAACAGGAGGUAAGGCGGGUGUUGAGGGGGGUGAAUUCAAGGAAAGCUGCGGGUUCAGACGGCGUCUCGGGACGGGUGUUGAAGGAAUGUGCA